UACGUAGGGGGCAAGCGUUGUCCGGAUUUAUUGGGCGUAAAGAGCGUGUAGGCGGCCAUACAGGUCCGUUGUGAAAACUGGAGGCUCAACUUCCAGACGUCGACGGAAACCGUGUGGCUAGAGUCCGGAAGAGGAGAGUGGAAUUCCUGGUGUAGCGGUGAAAUGCGCAGAUAUCAGGAAGAACACCAAUGGCGAAGGCAGCUCUCUGGGACGGUACUGACGCUGAGACGCGAAAGCGUGGGGAGCGAACAGG
rnacentral:rRNA from 1 species